UACGGAGGGUGCAAGCGUUAAUCGGAAUUACUGGGCGUAAAGCGCACGUAGGUGGUUUACUAAGCCAGCUGUGAAAUCCCCGGGCUCAACCUGGGCACUGCAGUUGGAACUGGUAAGCUAGAGUAGGGUAGAGGGGUGUGGAAUUCCAGGUGUAGCGGUGAAAUGCGUAGAUAUCUGGAGGAACACCGGUGGCGAAGGCGGCGACCUGGGUCGAGACUGACGCUGAGGCGCGAAAGCGUGGGGAGCAAACAGG
rnacentral:rRNA from 1 species